AAUCAAUUGUAAAAACACAUGCUAGAUACUUGGUAACACCAAAUAAGUAGCAAGAAACUGGUAGAAAAAAUAUACAUGAACUGUAUUCAAGUAUAAAGGAAAGGAAAUAAUAAUAAAGUCAAAGUAAAGAAGGUGGGAUCUCUCUGGAAGAAAUAAUACUACAUAAGGUUCAUUGACAUUGAAGCUGAGUAUUUAGAACAUUUACCCAAUUGUAGAGUGUCAAUGUGCAUUUGUAGGUUGGGUAGAAAUAUAGACCAUGAAGGUUCUUCAAAUAAAUGUCCUUAUAUGUGUUAGAGAUGCUAUGUUUAGAGGUAGCAAAGUCAGUAAAUGGGUUUGCUAUUGAAAAUUGUCUGGGAAAGUAAAGUAAAGGUGAGUGAAGUAAAACGGAAGGGAGAAAUGAGCAUAACCAUGAUAUGAAAUAAGUAAAAGCAAUGGCGUCAUGGAUAAUUGAAAUCACCCUUUUACCAUUAUCAGUGUCAAUAUCGCUUGGAGCAAGGAAUGCUUACUGAACUGACUCGCAUGAGAACCUGCACAAAUGAUAAAUAACCAUGCUAAAGCAGUACUUUCUGUAUUCUGAUGGUUGGAACAUGGGAAUAGUUGCUAGAUUUUGUUUUCAGGUGAUAGUCAUAGUUUUGUCAUUUUAAUAAGUGUAGAAGUACAUUUAAUAAAAAUAAAAAAUAAAAUUCACUAAAGUAUG